AGCCCGUACCCUGUGAAGAAAGAAACAACCAUCAAGGAAAUGGGGUUGCGGAGAGGGGUGCCCAAGUGAGAUGUAGCAGAGGUCCUGUACCUACCCCAUGAGGGACUCGGGUUAGACACAGGAAGAACUUCCCUGAUGGGGAAGGAGACAAUGAUGGGGCACAGCAAGCACACAGUAAGUGCAAGUUCCUUUUCCCUUGACAUUCAGUUACUCACGGGCUUACCCUGUUUCCUUCGUAACCAUUUCUCUCCCUUGUGCAACUGUUACCUCCUCGACAAAAACUGCAAACUGCUAAAAAACAGUGGCGCCUCUGAAGUGCAUUCACGAUGAGGCCCCCCCAGGGCCCCUUCAGGUGAAAGGCCCCCGAAUCCCAGAGCAAUGACAGUGUCUUCAUCAUCUCUGCACCCCCGAAGGCGUUGAGCCCAGCACCGAGUCCAUGGAAGAUGCUGUGGGCAGGAGAAAAAGGUACCUGGUCCCCACCAGCACUGUCCAGCUGCCCCCUCCCACCAAGAAAAAAAAGAAAGAAAGAAAAGAAGAAGUAACACAAGCAGGAAUUUGAUAGCUGCGGUCUGAGAACACUGGCUUUUUUAAAAACCCGAAGAAGCUGGCCAAGGAUAUUUGAGAUAGGUCCUGUGAUUCUUAUCAGAGAAGUGAGUAUUAAGGCGUUAAUGGCUUGGACUUUGCUUAAGAGCAUCAUGAAUAUAGGCUGUGGGAGGCCGAGGAGUAGAG